rnacentral:rRNA from 1 species
UGGAAACGUCGCGUAAUACCCCGUAACACAAGGGACCGCAUGAUCUCUUGUUGAAAGAUUUAUUGCAUACGGAUCGGCUCGCGUGCCAUUAGGUAGACGGCGGGGUAACGGCCCACCGUGCCGACGAUGGCUAGGGGUUCUGAGAGGAAGGUCCCCCACAUUGGAACUGAGACACGGUCCAGACUCCUACGGGAGGCAGCAGUGAGGAAUAUUGGACAAUGGCCGGAAGGCUGAUCCAGCCAUGCCGCGUGCGGGAGGACGGCCCUAUGGGUUGUAAACCGCUUUUGCGAGGGAGCAAUAAGAGUCACGUGUGGCUCGAUGAGAGUACCUCGCGAAUAAGCAUCGGCUAACU